UACAGAGGAGCCAAGCGUUGUCCGGAUUGACUGGGCGUAAAGCGCACGCAGGCGGUUGCGCGCGUGGGGGGUGAAAGCUGGUGGCUUAACUGCCAGAUGCCACCCCAUACGGCGCGACUCGAGCCCGUGAGAGGUCCACGGAAUUGCCGGUGUAGUGGUGAAAUGCGUAGAGAUCGGCAGGAACACCCAGGGGGAAACCAGUGGACUGGCACGGUGCUGACGCUCAGGUGCGAAAGCGUGGGGAGCGAACCGG
rnacentral:rRNA from 1 species